rnacentral:misc_RNA from 1 species
GAUGAAGAACGUAGCGAAAUGCGAUAAGUAAUGUGAAUUGCAGAAUUCAGUGAAUCAUCGAAUCUUUGAACGCACAUUGCGCCCUCUGGUAUUCCGGGGGGCAUGCCUGUUCGAGCGUCAUUAUAACCACUCAAGCUCUCGCUUGGUAUUGGAGUUCGCGAUCUCGCGGCUCCUAAAAUCAGUGGCGGUGCCUGUCGGCUCUACGCGUAGUAAUACUCCUCGCGAUUGAGUCCGGUAGGUUUACUUGCCAGCAACCCCCAAUUUUUACAGGUUGGCCUCGGAUCAGGUAGGGAUACCCGCUGAACUUAAGCAUAUCAAUAAGCGGAGGA